CUUCUAAAAUUUAAGAACAAUAUACACUACUACAAAAACCGUGGUUUCACGACGCUUUGGCCUCGACGCAAGGGGAAGAGCGUUGAACUACAUGAUAGUCCGCGCGUCGUCUCGACGCCUAUCUGUGUCCUCUGAAAUUCUCGAUGAAUAUAAGCGUCGAGAGUUUAGAAAAUGGCCAUGUGAGGCUCACGUGUCAUACUUCACAUCCCCGGGUCCAAAUUGGGGGAAAACUUUCGGCAUUCAACCCUAAACACCGCUCUCUCUCUUCUCUCUCUCUCUCUUCCAGAUCUACAUGAAUAAGCAUUUCUCUGCCUUCAGAUCAACAUUAACAUACAUGUAGUCCUCGGUCGACAUUUCUAACUCAACUUUCAGUUGCUAUAUAGUAAGAGACGAGUUAUCGCAAGAGGGUUAGACCUACAACAAGUCUAGGGAAUGGCACACCAACGGUCCACUUUCAAAUGUCUGGGUGUGGCUGAAUGGUUGCAGACCAUGCAUCUGGUUGGCUACCCAGAUAUCUUCACAACCAGGAUUUUCUUGACAAGAGUUUGAGAUAUUCCCCGUUACAGUUUUAGCUUAAACAUCUUAGAGGCUUAAACGCUAGACAGUCGGCGAUAGGAAUUAUGCCAUCCGGCCUUCCUUGAGUAUUGCGACCCUUUGAGGGAAGAAAUAUAGAUGGCUUCUCUCUAACGGUUUCUUCAACAAACAGAAGGAUACUAGCAAGUACUGGGACUCGAGUUGGCGUGAAUGUGAGGUUCGUUGAGAAGGUUCACAAUCACAUUUUUUCAGUCCCUAUUUUGAUCACUCCUACUUUCGUGAAAUAAAAUAUUUUGUUCGGUUAAUCAAGCCAUAUAAUGUGAUGAGCAUUGUGUCAUCUCGUCUAUAUUAGCCACCCGUUGUGAUCAAACUGGGUGUGUUAAAAAUUGACAAUGCAAAUGAGCUAUCAAAUUUUUGUUCCAGAAGAGUAUUUAGCUUACAGCCAUGUCAGAAGGCUUUACUGUAUUAAGUGUGCUAAAUGUGCUGAAGGAUGUGUCUGGCAGCAGUUCUUUGAAAACAAGCACUUCAAUAUAAGUUGUUCAAUUCCUUUAAUGUAAACAAAUGGUAGAAGUGUGCAUAAUAUUACAAUGUUAAUGUACGGUAUAAAUAAUUAUUUUGUUGUAGUAUAUAUCAAUUUUGAACAAAUUCAUGUAAGACUCAUUUUUUCUUCUAUUUAUACAUUAGUAAUGAAUAGAUUUUCUUGUCGUUUA